UACGUAGGGGGCUAGCGUUGUCCGGAAUCAUUGGGCGUAAAGAGCGUGUAGGCGGCUUGGUAAGUCCGCUGUGAAAGUCCAGGGCUCAACCCUGGAAAGCCAGUGGAAACUGUCAAGCUAGAGUCCGGAAGAGGCGAGUGGAACUCCUGGUGUAGCGGUGAAAUGCGCAGAUAUCAGGAAGAACACCAAUGGCGAAGGCAGCUCGCUGGGACGGUACUGACGCUGAGACGCGAAAGCGUGGGGAGCAAACAG
rnacentral:rRNA from 1 species